rnacentral:rRNA from 1 species
CCUACGGGAGGCAGCAGUGAGGAAUAUUGGUCAAUGGGCGCAGGCCUGAACCAGCCAAGUCGCGUGAAGGAAGACUGCCCUAUGGGUUGUAAACUUCUUUUAUAAGGGAAGAAUAAUGACUACGUGUAGUCAUAUGCCCGUACCUUAUGAAUAAGCAUCGGCUAACUCCGUGCCAGCAGCCGCGGUAAUACGGAGGAUGCGAGCGUUAUCCGGAUUUAUUGGGUUUAAAGGGUGCGUAGGCGGUAUUUAAAGUAAGUGGUAAAACGCCGGGGCUACACAUUGAAUGGCAAUUGAAACUGGAGUACUAGAGUACAGGCGAGGUAGGCGGAAUAAG